rnacentral:rRNA from 1 species
UAAGGAAUAUUGGUCAAUGGGCGGAAGCCUGAACCAGCCAUGCCGCGUGCAGGAAGACGGCCCUACGGGUUGUAAACUGCUUUUGUACCGGAAUAAACCCUCGUUCGUGAACGAGGCUGAAUGUACGGUAAGAAUAAGGAUCGGCUAACUCCGUGCCAGCAGCCGCGGUAAUACGGAGGAUCCAAGCGUUAUCCGGAUUUAUUGGGUUUAAAGGGUGCGUAGGCGGCCUGUUAAGUCAGGGGUGAAAGACGGUAGCUCAACUAUCGCAGUGCCCUUGAUACUGAUGGGCUUGAAUGUACUAGAGGUAGGCGGAAUGUGACAAGUAGCGGUGAAAUGCAUAGAUAUGUCACAGAACACCAAUUGCGAAGGCAGCUUACUAUGGUAUGAUUGACGCUGAGGCACGAAAGCGUGGGGAUCAAACA